rnacentral:rRNA from 1 species
AACGGGUGAGUAACGCGUAGGAAUCUACCUUGUAGUGGGGGAUAGCCUGGGGAAACUCGGGGUAAUACCACAUAAUCUCUACGGAGCAAAGCGGGGGAUCUUCGGACCUCGCGCUGCAAGAUGAGCCUGCGUUGGAUUAGCUAGUUGGUGGGGUAAAGGCCUACCAAGGCGACGAUCUAUAGCUGGUCUGAGAGGACGACCAGCCACACUGGGAUUGAGACACGGCCCAGACUCCUACGGGAGGCAGCAGUGGGGAAUAUUG